rnacentral:SRP_RNA from 1 species
GCCGGGCACAGUGGCUUGUGCCUGUAAUCCAAGCGCCGGGGAGGCUGAGGCUGGUGGACGGCUUGAGCCUGGGGGUUCUGGGCUGCAGCGAGCUGUGCUGAGCGGGCGUCUGCGCUAAGUUCAGCAUCGAUAUGGUGGUCCUGGGGGAGCCGGGGGUCACCAGGUCGUCUAAGGAGGGGUGAACCGGCCCAGGUCGGAGACGGAGCAGGUCAAAACUCCUGUGCUGAUCAGUAGUGGGAUCGCACCUGUGAACAGUCCCUGUAGCACAGCCCGGGCGAGAGAGCGGGACCCAGUUUCCU